rnacentral:rRNA from 1 species
AGGAUGAACGCUGGCGGUCUGCUUAACACAUGCAAGUCGAACGGAGUAGCAAUACUUAGUGGCGGACGGGUGAGUAACGCGUGAGAAUCUACCUUCAGGACGGAGACAACAGUUGGAAACGACUGCUAACCCCCGAUGUACUGAAAAGGCAAAUAUUUAUAGCCUGAAGAAGAGCUCGCGUCCGAUUAGCUAGUUGGAGAGGUAAAAGCUCACCAAGGCGACGAUCGGUAGCUGGUCUGAGAGGACGAUCAGCCACACUGGGACUGAGACACGGCCCAGACUCCUACGGGAGGCAGCAGUGGGAAUUUUCCGCAAUGGGCGAAAGCCUGACGGAGCAAGACCGCGUGGGGGAAGAAGGCUCUUGGGUUGUAAACCCCUUUUCUCCUGGGAAGACACAAUGACGGUACCAGAGGAAUCAGCAUCGGCUAACUCCGUGCCAGCAGCCGC